GAGAGCCUUUACGCGCCACUUGAGUUUGCAGAAAGCGUCCAGUCGCUUUCAGCAGAAUCACAGGACACUCCGAGGGAAGCUGGGAGAGAGCUCAAGUAACCGAGCGGGAUCUAGGACCAGGAGCGGCAGAAGCUCCAUCUCCCCUCGCGCAGUGCAUUCACAGUUCACAGCCGUCUAGACGCUAACGCGAUGCGACAGGGGAACCUUUACAGCAACAAACGGGAGUAUAGUAUCAGGGAAGGCUGACCGAGCCGUGAACCGCAGCCCUAACACGGAGCAAAUUAACAUCAACAGAAAUAGCACUGGGUUUUUUCAGCUCGCUUAUGUGCGAGGCAGCAAAUGCAGCCCGCGGUGUCAGGUCCUCUUUGCGCGGGGAUGCAUAGCAAAUUCUCCCGCUUACCUGACCAGGUGGCCCAGGGCCAGAACAUUAGACCUGAAUGAUCCGGACGGGCAGAGCCAGAAUCGAUCGAUUUGUUAUAGAUGAGUCUUUUCACAGGAGCUUGUGUGUGUGUCUGUGUGUGAUGAAAACUCGAUGAGAACCAAAUCUGACUUGUAUGCAUGUUCAUUCAAGUCUGUUAGACCUCAGAAAGUUAAUAAAACAAACUUUUAAAGUUCAGCGAAAACUGAAAAA
rnacentral:lncRNA from 1 species